CACUUCAUAAAGUUUACUUUAAGAAGUGACUUAGUGGCGGACGGGUGAGUAACGCGUGGGUAACCUGCCUUACACAGGGGGAUAACAGUUAGAAAUGACUGCUAAUACCGCAUAAAACAGCAGAGUCGCAUGACUCAACUGUCAAAGAUUUAUCGGUGUAAGAUGGACCCGCGUCUGAUUAGCUAGUUGGUGGGGUAACGGCCCACCAUGGCGACGAUCGGUAGCCGGACUGAGAGGUUGAACGGCCACAUUGGGACUGAGACACGGCCCAGACUCC
rnacentral:rRNA from 2 species